rnacentral:rRNA from 1 species
AGCACGUAGGUGGGUUUGUUAGUCAGAUGUGAAAGCCUUCUGUUCAACGGAAGAAUUGCAUCUGAAACUACAAACCUUGAGUAUAGGAGGGGAGAGUGGAACUUCUGGUGGAGCGGUGAAAUGCGUAGAUAUCAGAAGGAACGCCGGCGGCGAAAGCGACUCUCUGGCCUAUAACUGACACUGAGUGUGCGAAAGCUAGGGGAGCAAACGUGAUCAGAUACCCCGGUA